rnacentral:rRNA from 1 species
AUUGAACGCUGGCGGCAGGCCUAAUACAUGCAAGUCGAACGAGUGGCGGACGGGUGAGUAAUGUCUGGGAAACUGCCCGAUGGAGGGGGAUAACUACUGGAAACGGUAGCUAAUACCGCCUACCAUCGGAUGUGCCCAGAUGGGAUUAGCUAGUGGGUGGGGUAACGGCUCACCUCGGCGACGAUCCCUAGCUGGUCUGAGAGGAUGACCAGCCACACUGGAACUGAGCCACGGUCAAGAUCCUUACGGGAGGAAGCAGGGGGGAAUAUGGCACAAUGGGCGCAAGCCGGAUGCAGCAAGGCCGCGUGUAUGAAGAAGGCCUUCGGGUUUUAAAGUACGUUCAGCGAGGAGGCGUUACUCGCAGAAGAAGCACCGGCUAACUCCGUGCCAGCAGCCGCGGUAAUAC